UAUAAUGUUUAUAUAUGUAUAAAGCAAGGCAUACAAUUUGGAAUUUAAGUUUUUAUUUAAAUACUUUAAAUGCCAACAUUGAUGCAUUUUGCUAUUUUACAUACUCUACACUUUCUAAAUGAUAAUACUAGCUUACAUUGAUGUAGUAUUUUAUGGUUUUCAGGGCACUAAUAUACACAUGAUGAUACCUAAUUCUCUCAGAAAACCUUUGGCAAAGACACUUUCUACAUCUUGAAGUGGGGGUUUGAGAGAAGGAAAAUCAUGAACACACAUUCUUCUACUCUGGAGAAGUGGGGAAGGUGACCUGGGAAACCAUCUGAAAGGGAGCAGGAUGGAUUCUAUAAAAUAUAGAGUGUUCAAUGAAAACAACCUGAUGCUCCUCCCAGUACCAUCACAUUUUUCUAGCUGCAUAUC
rnacentral:lncRNA from 1 species